UACGUAGGGUGCGAGCGUUGUCCGGAAUUAUUGGGCGUAAAGAGCUUGUAGGUGGUUUGUCGCGUCUGCUGUGAAAAUCCGGGGCUCAACCCCGGACUUGCAGUGGGUACGGGCAGACUAGAGUGUGGUAGGGGAGACUGGAAUUCCUGGUGUAGCGGUGGAAUGCGCAGAUAUCAGGAGGAACACCAAUAGCGAAGGCAGCUCGCUGGGACGUUACUGACACUGAGGCGCGAAAGCGUGGGGAGCGAACAGG
rnacentral:rRNA from 1 species